AGGACCAACUCCGAGACACAGAGCUGAAAGUGCCCUCCAGUGCCUGGGAGGAAAUGAGGAAAUGUCCAGUCUCACACUCACUGCCAGUGUGAGAGUGAGAUCAGGAGAAAGAUUGGACUGAAGAUGUCUCUUACCGGUGAAGGUUAGGACGGCAGACACAACGCAGAGAAAGAAAUGAACUGAAACAUCUAUGCUUUGUUCUUUCCCCUGCUAAAUUCUCCAAACAGAUGUCAGGUUCUCCCCCUUUUGCUACAAGUUUCCUUGGAUAACCUUAAUUACCUGGAGGUGGUGGAACAUGGAAGAGCUGAAUCUUUCAUUGAUUCUCCAAGGCACGCUUUCUCAGGUUCUUACCACUCUGAGAUCUCCAUGCCCUGAACUCUGUCAGCCAGGCAGGUGUGUGCUAGCUGUCACUGACUUUGUGGGAAUGUCAGAGAGUGGGUGUCACAGAUUUGGAGGACAAUCCCGAAGACAACUGUGGAUGGAAUACUUUUAAAAGAAACAUGCUCCCCCCACCAACUUUCCCCAAAUCUCUUGAGGGCUUCUAGGACAACAGUGUCCGGAAAGACCCAGAUAUAAAGAUCCAGAGCCUAAGAGCAGGUCCACGGAGUCAGAUGCUGAAUGUGAAGUUUAGGGACCCCUUAACCCAUGUAUCUGUCUCUAUUUCCCUUUCUGUGCAGGCUGAAGAGAAACGAUUAAGCCUUUCAUGGGAGGUCCAAACAAGCUCUUUGAAUAUGUUUAAAAGAAAAAUUCUAAGAGAUGAGGAAGCCUCAUGAUGUGUAUAUGUCCACAUUUCUGCUUUCUUGUUCUUUCACUAAAUAACAGCUGGUCUCACACAGUUAGAGCUUGAGAGUCCAUGCAGUACAGUACGGCAGCCUUCCUGUCUGAUGUCUCCACAGCCAUCAAUAUGUUUCUCAUGUAUUUGUGGAAAAAUAUGCGAACCAUCUUGCCAUUAAACUAUUUUUGAAAUCUUGUGGAAGCCUGCCAGUAUUUUUCCAAGUCAGCUACAACACUCUUGCCUGUGAGAGAAGUUCCCCUACUGUAAGACUAUGUAUUUGGAUAUAGUUUUUGUUGAAAACUUUUUUGUUAAUCCUGGCCAUUGAUCUAGAGCAAAACUCAGUAAAUAAAAAAUGCAUAAAAUUCCAAUGCUUGCUAUAUAAAAUAUGUAAUCUGGGGAACAGAAAGUUAUUGGUGCCUAGCUGGUUUGGCUAUUUUGUUGUUGUUGAUGGUUUUUGUGGAACUGGGGAUUGAGUCUGGGGGUAUUAAGCUAUUUCCUUGGCCCUUUUUAUGAUUAUUAUUUUUUAAAACUUUGAGACAGGGCUUUGGUAAGUUUCCCAGGGUGGUUUUAAAUUUGCAAUCCUCCUGCCUCAGCCUCCUGAGUAU